UACGAAGGGGGCUAGCGUUGCUCGGAAUCACUGGGCGUAAGGGGUGCGUAGGCGGGUCUUUAAGUCAGGGGUGAAAUCCUGGAGCUCAACUCCAGAACUGCCUUUGAUACUGAAGAUCUUGAGUUCGGGAGAGGUGAGUGGAACUGCGAGUGUAGAGGUGAAAUUCGUAGAUAUUCGCAAGAACACCAGUGGCGAAGGCGGCUCACUGGCCCGAUACUGACGCUGAGGCACGAAAGCGUGGGGAGCAAACAAGGG
rnacentral:rRNA from 1 species